rnacentral:rRNA from 3 species
UAGGGAAUCUUCGGCAAUGGACGAAAGUCUGACCGAGCAACGCCGCGUGAGUGAAGAAGGUUUUCGGAUCGUAAAACUCUGUUGUUAGAGAAGAACAAGGACGUUAGUAACUGAACGUCCCCUGACGGUAUCUAACCAGAAAGCCACGGCUAACUACGUGCCAGCAGCCGCGGUAAUACGUAGGUGGCAAGCGUUGUCCGGAUUUAUUGGGCGUAAAGCGAGCGCAGGCGGUUUCUUAAGUCUGAUGUGAAAGCCCCCGGCUCAACCGGGGAGGGUCAUUGGAAACUGGGGGACUUGAGUGCAGAAGAGGAGAGUGGAAUUCCAUGUGUAGCGGUGAAAUGCGUAGAUAUAUGGAGGAACACCAGUGGCGAAGGCGGCUCUCUGGUCUGUAACUGACGCUGAGGCUCGAAAGCGUGGGGAGCAAACAGG